rnacentral:rRNA from 1 species
GAUGAACGCUGGCGGCGUGCCUAAUACAUGCAAGUCGAGCGAACAGACGAGGAGCUUGCUCCUCUGACGUUAGCGGCGGACGGGUGAGUAACACGUGGAUAACCUACCUAUAAGACUGGGAUAACUUCGGGAAACCGGAGCUAAUACCGGAUAAUAUAUUGAACCGCAUGGUUCAAUAGUGAAAGACGGUUUUGCUGUCACUUAUAGAUGGUUCCGCGCCGCAUUAGCUAGUUGGUAAGGUAACGGCUUACCAAGGCAACGAUGCGUAGCCGACCUGAGAGGGUGAUCGGCCACACUGGAACUGAGACACGGUCCAGACUCCUACGGGAGGCAGCAGUGGGGAAUCUUGCGCAAUGGGCGAAAGCCUGACGGAGCAACGCCGCGUGAGUGAUGAAGGUCUUCGGAUCGUAAAACUCUGUUAUUAGGGAAGAACAAAUGUGUAAGUAACUAUGCACGUCUUGACGGUACCUAAUCAGAAAGCCACGGCUAACUACGUG